rnacentral:tRNA from 1 species
AGCCCCGUCGUCUAGUGGACUAGGAUAGAGCCCUUUGGAGGCUUUGACCGCGGUUCGAACAGCACCUUUAAUAAAGCUGCACCAAACAGCGAGGAGGGUAUUCGCUACGCUCAACCCUCCGCACUACGGAAAUGCAGCAAAAGGCGUUAAGAAAAUCCGCGCGGGGCUA